UGGGGAAUAUUGGACAAUGGGGGCAACCCUGAUCCAGCAAUGCCGCGUGUGUGAAGAAGGUUUUCGGAUUGUAAAGCACUUUCGGCGGGGACGAUGAUGACGGUACCCGCAGAAGAAGCCCCGGCUAACUUCGUGCCAGCAGCCGCGGUAAUACGAAGGGGGCCAGCGUUGCUCGGAAUGACUGGGCGUAAAGGGCGUGUAGGCGGUUUGUACAGUCAGAUGUGAAAUCCCCGGGCUUAACCUGGGAGCUGCAUUUGAUACGUGCAGACUAGAGUGUGAGAGAGGGUUGUGGAAUUCCCAGUGUAGAGGUGAAAUUCGUAGAUAUUGGGAAGAACACCGGUGGCGAAGGCGGCAACCUGGCUCAUGACUGACGCUGAGGCGCGAAAGCGUGGGGAGCAAACAGGAUUAGAUACCCUGGUAGUCCACGCUGUAAACGAUGUGUGCUGGAUGUUGGGCCAACUUAGUUGUUCAGUGUCGUAGCUAACGCGAUAAGCACACCGCCUGGGGAGUACGGCCGCAAGGUUGAAAC
rnacentral:rRNA from 1 species